GGGCGUAAGCGCGCGUAGGUGGCUAAGUCAGCCAGGUGUGAAAGCCCCGGGCUCAACCUGGGAACGGCAUCUGGAACUGCUUGGCUAGAGUGCAGGAGAGGAAGGUAGAAUUCCCGGUGUAGCGGUGAAAUGCGUAGAGAUCGGGAGGAAUACCAGUGGCGAAGGCGGCCUUCUGGACUGACACUGACACUGAGGUGCGAAAGCGUGGGUAGCAAACAGGAUUAGAUACCCUGGUAGUCCACGCCGUAAACGAUGUCAACUAGCCGUUGGGUCCCUUGAGGACUUAGUGGCGCAGCUAACGCAAUAAGUUGACCGCCUGGGGAGUACGGCCGCAAGGUUAAAACUCAAAUGAAUUGACGGGGGCCCGCACAAGCGGUGGAGCAUGUGGUUUAAUUCGAUGCAACGCGAAGAACCUUACCUACCCUUGACAUCCAGAGGACUUUCCAGAGAUGGAUUGGUGCCUUCGGGAACUCUGAGACAGGUGCUGCAUGGCUGUCGUCAGCUCGUGUUGUGAAAUGUUGGGUUAAGUCCCGUAACGAGCGCAACCCCUAUCCUUAUUUGCCAGCGAGUAAUGUCGGGAACUCUAAGGAGACUGCCGGUGACAAACCGGAGGAAGGUGGGGACGACGUCAAGUCAUCAUGGCCCUUACGGGUAGGGCUACACACGUGCUACAAUGGCAAGUACAAAGGGUUGCAAUACUGCGAAGUGGAGCCAAUCCCAUAAAGCUUGCCUCAGUCCGGAUUGGAGUCUGCAACUCGACUCCAUGAAGUCGGAAUCGCUAGUAAUCGUGGAUCAAAAUGCCACGGUGAAUACGUUCCCGGGCCUUGUACACACCGCCCGUCACACCAUGGGGAGUGGACUGCACC
rnacentral:rRNA from 1 species